rnacentral:rRNA from 1 species
AUACGGAGGGUCCAAGCGUUAUCCAGAAUCAUUGGGUUUAAAGGGUCCGCAGGCGGUCAAUUAAGUCAGAGGUGAAAGCCCAUCGCUCAACGAUGGAACUGCCUUUGAUACUGGUUGACUUGAGUUAUACGGAAGUAGAUAGAAUAAGUAGUGUAGCGGUGAAAUGCAUAGAUAUUACUUAGAAUACCGAUUGCGAAGGCAGUCUACUACGUAUAUACUGACGCUGAGGGACGAAAGCGUGGGGAGCGAACAGGAUUAGAUACCCCAGUAGUCC